rnacentral:rRNA from 1 species
ACUCCUACGGGAGGCAGCAGUGGGGAAUAUUGCACAAUGGGCGCAAGCCUGAUGCAGCCAUGCCGCGUGUGUGAAGAAGGCCUUCGGGUUGUAAAGCACUUUCAGUAGGGAGGAAGGUAGUGUAGUUAACACCUGCAUUAUUUGACGUUACCUACAGAAGAAGCACCGGCUAACUCCGUGCCAGCAGCCGCGGUAAUACGGAGGGUGCGAGCGUUAAUCGGAAUUACUGGGCGUAAAGCGCAUGCAGGCGGCCUGUUAAGUCAGAUGUGAAAGCCCGGGGGCUUAACCUCGGAAUUGCAUUUGAAACUGGCAGGCUAGAGUCUUGUAGAGGGGGUAGAAUUUCAGGUGUAGCGGUGAAAUGCGUAGAGAUCUGAAGGAAUACCAGUGGCGAAGGCGGCCCCCUGGACAAAGACUGACGCUCAGAUGCGAAAGCGUGGGGAGC